AGCUUUACAACUUAUAAUUGACCAAAAUUGUUGUGCACAGCUUAAUUAAAAGUGCAGUAUUAUUGGAUAUGCUCUUGCUAGAUAUAAUUUAAAAUUUUGGGGAUAAAGUGUCUGAAUUAAUCUAUAUUGUGAAUAUGGCUGAUAUGUUAUUUAUUUAUUGGUUUUUGCAGCUGCUGUCCUGAAACUUCAUAAAGUUACCCAUAUUGAGGUGAAGGAAACAAUCUGCCUGUGGCUGCAACAGAGCAAAACAAGAGUAAUGAGGAGAGGAAACAGAAACCAGCACCAAGGACCAGCUGAAAAUGAUCCAGGCCACUAAAAUUAUAUAUGAUACUAUAGUAGAUUGCUUAUUGUAUAAAUUAUAAUAUAAAUAAAUUUUUAGUAACUGUAA